CUUUCUCAAAUGCUGAAUUCCAAGAACUUCCCACUCGAAUCUGCCGAAGCCGUGGCUGUUCAGCUCCUAUGAAAAUCAAUCCACUCGUUUAGAUGCCUGAAUAUGAAUGUUAGUGCCAGACUUUGGACAGUGACAUAGGAAGACAUUGGCCUGAGCCUAUUCAUGGACUCUCAUCCUACAAUCCAGCCCCUCAACAGAUACAUCCCAGCUUCUGACUGUGAGCCAUUCAGCUACAAUGGGAAGGCCUAGAUGCUAGGCCCACAUGAGAGAGGGAAGGAUUUCAGGCCCAAGGCCCAAGUGGGGCAGGAAGAAGCACACGCUCACCUCAGUUGCCUUCUUUGCUGAGGAUGAGUUGCAAGACAGCUGGUUCAUUACAUCAGCCACGGCAUUAUUGACCUUUUCCCUUUCUACUGAUUAGCCUCCGAUCUCCGAUAC